AAACCCAGAAGUAACCGGCAGGUUUGCCGCCAUUCGCGCCUGCGCAGAAGCGGUGAUCGCUGUUCGCGCAUGCACAGGAGCAGGCAAUUGCCGCCCGCGCCUGCGCACAAUGGCACCUCUCCCAGCGACCCAUUUUGCCAUAAGGACGGGCCUCCGGAAUGGAUUGUGGUCGUGAGUAGAAGUUCCACUGUAUAGGGAAGGUUUUUAAUGUUUAAUGUUUUAUUAUGUUUUUAUAUAUGUUGGAAGCUGACCAGAGUGGCUGGUGCAAAGCAGUCACAUGGAUGGGGUAUAAACAGUAAAAUUAUUAUUAUUACAGUGGUACCUCGGGUUAAGUACUUAAUUCGUUCCGGAGGUCCAUUCUUAACCUGAAACUGUUCUUAACCUGAAGCACCACUUUAGCCAAUGGGGCCUCCUGCUGCCGCCGCACUGCCGGAGCACGAUUUCUGUUCUUAUCCUGAAGCAAAGUUCUUAACCCAAGGUAAUAUUUCUGGGUACCACUGUAUUAAUAUUAUUAUGGAAUAGGACGUCCCUAUUUUCAUCAGAGAAAUGGUGAUGGGUAUGAAACAAGUCUCACCAGUGGAGUGAGUGUUGUUUAGCUGCCAGGUGGAAACAAAGAAGUGUUCCUCAGCCUGAGUUUCUGAUAUAAAAGGGUGAGCAUAUUUAGUAUGUUUUGUGGUAGUGGUUUCAUUUUGUUAGUCUGGUCUCACAUGCUUUGCUGUCUGGCUUCUUAGUCAUAGGGUCUUCUUCUGCAAACAGCUAUUUGCAGCAGUCUCUCUGCUUCAGUUUUGUUCAGGCUAUCGGUUUAUGUCUCACUAAAAAAUUUCAAGCCUUUUCCUUUCUGAAUUUGGUCUAUUUUAUUCAACCACUUCUUCUAAGCAGCCUCAGCAAAGCAACUGCUCCCCCAAGCGGGCAGCUUCCAGAAGGUUCCACCUGACCCACUUGCCUUCAUGCAGUGUGGGUUGCGCACAUUGACCCUCAAUGAGGCAUAUGAAUGAAAACGGGGGCUAGUUGAUAAACAUGUUAAUGCUCUCACCAGCUUAUUCAACUUCUUUCCAUUCAAAGUGAUACAUCGAGCGAGCAAUUUGCAUUCAAUUAAUCUGCUAAUGAAGAAGUGGGAAUUGCUAUGGAGUGAAACUCCGCUUAAUUACCUAAUAAACAAGUAGGAAAACAUUUCAAGUGGACUAAAUGCUUCAGUUUGGUGACAGAAAGUGCUAAAGGCAAAAAGGAAAUUACUUGCUUUUGUCUUUAGUGGAGAAAUUGCCAGUUUUGAGCUUAUAUCCUUCUCCUUCUCUUUAUAGCCAUGCUCUUUUCCAGAAGGAGUUUAAGAAAUCAGAAACCACUGGGCUGUACUCAUGCCUAAUUUAAAAAUGUAGCAUCUACUGCCUGUAUAAAUCGACUGAAACAACACUCUUUCCCUACCUCUGUAUAAUUAUUUGAGGAGCUGAUGUAUGUGUUCUUUCUAGGGAUGGAAUUUUCUGAAAAUUUUGGUGUCAAGAUUAUCGACACAGAUGUGCUUCUGAUUUGCAACUUUCUCCUUGAGCUCUGUGAGAAGGGCUUGUAUUUUUGUGUUGGUUUUUCUUUUUUACAGGUUCUGCUAAAAGCACACACACACACACUUCAUAUGGUAUAUAUGUCAUUGGUGCCAACACACAUUCAGGUUAUGACUCCUCCCCAGCACUAGACAUUAGGCAACUUUUGCAUCAGGAAGGAUGGAAGAACUAAGUGAAAGUGUUUAUUAAUUCUAUAGGGCACAACCAUGCAUUCCAACUACCCUUAUUCAAUAGCUAUAAUUGGGGGCGUGCAGAACAGAGAAAUCUUGAUGAAACCCGAAACACUUCCCCCUUUAAAUUUCUCCUCGAAUAAUCAGGGGGCAGCCCUACCAUUGGCAGCUGUCUAUUUUAUUUUAUUUUUUGCAAAAAUUUUAUUAGUUUUUACAAUAUCAACGACAAACAAAAACAUAAAACAAACAAAACAUAACAAACAUAAAUCCUAACCUUAUUGAAAAUAACAGUUAUUUACUUUGUAAAACAACUUCCUCGUUUCCCCUUAGUUGAAUUUCAUUGCAUAUCCUUAUAACGGCUUUCCAAAUCCCAAUUUUAAUACCCUUUAAAUUAAACAUUAACAUCUUUAAAUCUUCUCCUUCUUGUAUUAAACAUAUUAUUUUGUCAGUUAACAUAAGUACAAUCCUAAGCCCAUUGAGUAUCUGGACGCUAUUUCCAGUUAUUUUAGCUUAACAAAUUUAGCUAAAUAAUCAUUAAAUUUCUUCCAUUCUUCAUGGUGUUCCUCCUCCUCCUGGUCGCGGACUCUUCCGGUUAGAUCGGCUAGCUCCAUAAAAUCCAUCAUCUUCAUCUGCCAUUCUUCUACUGUUGGUAAUUAUUGAGUUUUCCACUUUUUAGCUAACAGAAUACGAGCCACAGUUGUGGCAUACAAAAAUAGAUUAACAUCUUUCUUGGGCAAUUCCAAACCUGUUAUUCCAAGAAGAAAGGCCUCUGGUUUCUUUGUAAAUGUAUAUUUCAACAUUUUUUCCAAUUCAUUAUAAAUCUUUUCCCAGAAGUCUUUCACCUUGGGGCAGGUCCACCACAUAUGAAAGAAUGUUCCUUCCUUUUCUUUGCAUUUCCAACAUGUAUUAUCACAGUUAUGAUACAUCUUUGCUAAUUUUACAGGAGUCAAAUACCAUCUAUACAUCAUCUUCAUAAUAUUUUCCUUUAACAAAGUACAUGCGGUGAACUUCACCCCUUUCUUCCGCAAUCUUUCCCAAUCCUCAAACAUUAUAUUAUGUACUAAAUCUCUUGCCCAAUCUAUCAUCACCGAUUUAACUUGUUCAUCUUUUGUAUGCCACUCCAGCAAAAGCUUGUACAUUUUAGAUAAGUUUUUACCUUCAGUAUCUAACAACUCCAUCUCCAACUUGGAUUUUUCCAAGGCAAAACCAUUUUUCUUAUCCAGUUUAUACAAUUCGUUAAUCUGGUGGUAAUGUAACCAAUUUAGCUUAUCUUUAAUUUGCUCAAAUGGUCUUAAUUUAUAACCUUCCUCUUCCUACCAUUGGCAGCUGUCUAAGGAGAAAGAUCCUGAGUGGCUGAAAGUGAGCACACAUGUCUGAGUCUCUGCUCCACCACCUAAAGUGCUGCUCCUUCUUCUUGUGAAGGACUUUGUUCCUUCUCCCAGUGUUAAAGUAAGAUUUAACUGUCUGGGGCCAUGCUAAUCUUCUCUGUAUCGUUCCAAUUUUAGUAUAUGUGCUGCCGAAGCGAGCACAAUAAAUUCUCAAUAAAUAUUAUUUUAAAAAAGAAGUCUCAAAAAAAGAAGAAGAUUUAACUGUCUGUCCAGUCAGCUUUUGGAUAUUGUGUGUUUGUGUGUGGAUGCGGGUGGCGCUGUGGUCUAAACCACUGAGCCUCGUGGGCUUGCCGAUCAAAAGGUUGGAGGUUUGAAUCCCCACGAUGGGGUGAGCUCCAGUUGAUCUGUCCCAGCUCCUGCCAACCUAGCAGUCAAAAGCACGCCAGUGCAAGUAGAUAAAUAGGUACCACUGUGGCAAGAAGGUAAACGGCAUUUCCGUGCACUCUGGCACUCAUCAUGGUGUCCUGUUGCACAAGAAGCGGUUUAGUCAUGCUGGCCACGUGACCCAGAAAGCUGUCUGUGGACAAAUGCCAGCUCCCUCAGCCUGAAAGCGAGAUAAGCACCGCAACCCCAUAGUCACCUUUGACUGGACUUAACCAUCCAGGGGUCCUUUACCUUGACCUACCUAUUCAGCUAGAAUUGGGGACAUGCAGAACAGAGAAAUCUUGAUGAAACCCGAAACGUUUUCCCCUCUAAAUUUCUCCUUGAAUAAUCAGGGCAGCCCUACCAUUAGGGAGAUUGAGACAGCUGUCUCAAGAGAAAGAUGCUGAGUGGCUGAAGGUGAGUGUGCAUGUCUAGGUCUCUCCUCCACCACCUAAAGUGCUGCUCUUUCUUGUUGUGAAGGACUCUGUUCUACUGCCAGUGUUAAAGUAAGAUUCAACUGUCUGUCCAGUCAGCUUUUGUAUACUGUGUGUUGGUGUGUGUGUGUGCUACUGCCCAACUUAAGUUGGGCAACCCCCGGUCAAUAAAAUGCUGACCCACCAUAGCCUACCUGCUUCACUGGGUGCUUGGAACCCAGUGCCUAGAGAUUUCCUUUGCCAUCACAAUAUUUCCAACAGGAUAAUCCUGUACUACCCCGGAUCCUUGUGUCUUCUCCUUCACUAGAGAAAGUUCACACGUUGUCGAUUUGUUUUAGCAACGGCUAGAUGAAACCAACCCAUGUAACUGUUUUCCCUACCCAAACCAGAUUGACAUUGUGGUUCUUUCGCAUCGUUUUGCUUUUCUUUCCUCCGCGUGGAAACUUUGCGUCUGCACACGACCGUCCCUGAAAUAAGCUGAGGAAGCACAUUCCCUUAUUAACGACACAUAGCACUUUAAGAGAGUUGAAAUUUAUAGCCUGUGUAUUUAUUUGCAUGUGUUAGAAACAUUCCUUUGGGGACAGGUAUUAAGAAGUAGAACAGCUGUGGUUAAACGCACACCCUCCGCUCCAUCUGUAAAGGGGGAAAACUUAUUUCGAGAUCUGGGCAAGUUAACCUUGCCAGGUAAGACAUGAUUCUGCAGCAGAACUUCUGAUGCUUCUCUAACUCGUUCAAAAAGAAGACAGUUUUUGACAGACAGGAGCCCUUCCCAGGGAUCCAGGUGAGUGUGUCAGGGCUCAAACUGUAUAGGAGACAGGGGGCAUUUGUGCCUCCCUCACCACAAGGCCCUGUUCAUGCUGCCUGUCAGGUGAGGAGUAUCCUCUACUCCUCUGUUAGCCUCAGAGGCAAGAAGAACAAACAGUUCAUAUUUUAUGGCUUUUUAUUCAGUCAUCUGGUUGCAAGAUAAAAGAUCCAUGUCUCUACGCAUAGGAGACUUUGGCUACUCUGAGCACUUCCACUUCAGUCCCCAACAACAUCCUGAAAAUCAACGGGAAGUCCCAGGAGCCAUACCCCUUUGCAUCCUUUGUUCUUGAAUGCGUAGGGACCUACGAGCCCUUGAUGAAGGAGGAUCUUCCUGUUGGGAUACUGCUAGGGAGAUGGAGGCAUCAGACAGGCCUCCAGUCGUCUCCGGACGAUCACCGGUCUCCCGUGGAACAGCAUCAGUCAAUUAGCGACACGAGCCUCAGAGACAUUCCAAGACCCGUGCACACCCUUUCAGCAGAGUCUCCACAAUGAAAGGAUGCAGACAGGAGAGCAUGUUUACUGCUUUAUUCAACGUAGUUCAGAACAAAGGAAAAACAUGACUUGUCUCCUUGUCCAGGAAAACAGCCAGAACAAAAGCUAUAUACAAAACGGAAGUUCCCAGCGAGAAGCUGGAAGUAAACAGGCAUGUGACACACAACAGCCUGUUCCCUUUUUAAGGUGGAACGGAACUAUAUCCUAACACUUCCAGACUCUCCAGGGAGGUCUCUGCUGGCUGCUCUCCAGCUUCCUCCCUCCUCCACUAUCUCAUAGCUAGGCAUUUUUCAUGCAGAUGUGAAAUAGCCCUGCCUCCUUCUCCUUCUGAAACUGCCGGAGACACGGAGGGCAAAAUUUCUCACUCCCCCUCUUCUCCCAAGAAGAGCUAAGCAGACUGAGGGGGCCCUUCCAUCUCUCCUGCCCAGACCAGUCCCUGACACUGCCCCUCACUUCCCCCUCUCCCAAUCCUGGCAUGUUCAGCACAAAGGUCUGAAGGAAGAGGCUACUCCCUUUCAGUUGAACACAGUUAUAAUCCUCACCAGGGCUAGUUUUCUAUAACCCACCUUGUUCUCUUAUAAUGGCAAUGGCACCCACCUGAGAGGUGCCAGAACUGAGUUCCGGCGAGUUCCAGCUGAAAAAAGAGCCGUGAUCAUCACAAUGAUUUGGAACCCUGCGCAAGAUGACCUGUCACUUAUCUGUCCGGUCCAUGAGGACACAUGAGAAUAUAUGUAAGUGGAAAUUAGGAGUAAACUUUUGCAAGGAAAAUAUACUUACAUGAAUUGGGUAGAACGCAAGCCUUAACUUUUUCCUUUGAAGGCAGUACUGAACGGCUGCAUUCAUUUCCAAUCCAGCAAGCUAUAGGAAAUGUACAUUGCCAAAGCUUGUUAAAAAGCUAAUUCUCUAGGAACUCUGAAAGUAGAACUCCUGUGGCUGGAAACUCCUUGCAACACAGUGCACGGCCCAAAAUGUAUUAAUCCUGGCCUUCGUGUUUUGAUAAAUAGACCAAGGAGCAGCCAUUGAUUAAUUCUCUCCUGCCUCUCCUCCUGAACUAACAGGGCUGGAAUUGAAAUUCAGGAGGCUCAUGCUCAUGCAGAUGCCUUCCAGGGUGCUGUCAAAUAUGGAGAUUGCACACACUGGGUUUCAGCAGGUAACCAGCAUAAACACGAUUUUUAAAACUAACACAUAAUAGCCCAAUGAAACCACACAUUCAAAAGCCAGCACACCCAAAAAUAGACUCUUCCUCACUAUACGAUGCUUCCCACCCUGCACAAUAAGGCCUCCAGGUGCAGCUAAGGCCUUAAUCUGUUUGUUUCUUUUGUAUAGGGACCUGUAUUUGUUUCCUCUCCAAAAUGGAGGGACCCUAAACAACCAAUAAAACAGGAAUAACAGCUUUGUUCAGGUGUUUGGUACCCAUGGAAACCAAAUGUACAAAAGAAGAAUGUAUGGGCUAGCCAUACACUACAGAUGCCAAUGCGAAUGCCAGGCACACAAACCUGGUGGUAUGUGAUUGCCAUCAAUCUGGCAGAGGACCACACAAAUAUAAAUGUACUAGUGUAGGGUACCCUCCAUAGAAAUCAGAACCUUGGUCCAUCAAGGUUCACAUCCCCAUGGAGAGAAAAGCCCUAUGUGAAUACAUAAAUAUGGCUUCCUUCAGUCUGACACUGAAACAAUAUUCAAUAAAAUACAAUAAGCAGCAGUAAGGCACAUGAUGGCAGAAAGUGAGGAGGAAUUAAAGAACCUUUUAAUGAGGGUGAAAGAGGAGAGCGCAAAAUAUGGUCUGAAGCUCAACAUCCAAAAAACGAAGAUCAUGGCCACUGGUCCCAUCACCUCCUGGCAAAUAGAAGGGGAAGAACUGGAGGCAGUGAGAGAUUUUACUUUCUUGGGCUCCAUGAUCACUGCAGACGGUGACAGCAGUCACGAAAUUAAAAGACGCCUGCUCCUUGGGAGAAAGGCGAUGGCAAACCUAGAAAGCAUCUUAAAAAGCAGAGACAUCACCUUACCAACAAAGGUCCGUAUAGUUAAAGCCAUGGUUUUCCCAGUAGUGUUGUAAUAAUAAUAAUAAUAAUAAUAAUAAUAAUAAUAAUAAUAAUUUAUUAUUUGUACCCCGCCCAUCUGGCUGGGUUUCCCCAGCCACUCUGGGCGGCUUCCAUAGAAACAAAAAAACAGUAAAAUAUCACAGAUUAAAAGCUUCCCUGAACAGGGCUGCCUUAAGAUGCCCUCUAAAUGUCAGGUAGUUAUUUAUUGCUUUGACAUCUGAUGGGAGGGCAUUCCACAGGGCGGGCGCCACUACCGAGAAGGCCCUCUGCCUGGUUCCCUGUAGCUUUGCUUCUGCAAUGAGGGAACCGCCAGAAGGCCCUCGGCGCUGGACCUCAGCGUCCGGGCAGAACGAUGGGGGUGGAGACGCUCCUUCAGGUAUACUGGGCCGAGGCCGUUUAGGGCUUUAAAGGUCAACACCAACACUUUGAAUUGUGCUGGAAGUGAGAGCUGGACCAUAAAGAAGGCUGAUUGCUGAAGAAUUAAUGCUUUUGAAUUAUGGUGCUGGAGGAGACUCUUGAGAGUCCCAUGGACUGCAAGAAGAUCAAACCUCUCCAUUCUUAAGGAAAUCAGCCCUGAGUGCUCACUGGAAGGACAGAUCGUGAAGCUGAGGCUCCAAUACUUUGGCCACCUCAUGAGAAGAGAAGACUCCCUUGAAAAGACACUGAUGCUGGGAAAGAUGGAGGGCACAAGGAGAAGGGGACGACAGAGGACGAGAUGGUUGGACAGUGUUCUCGAAGCUACAAACAUGAGUCUGACCAAACUGCGGGAGGGAGUGGAAGACAGAAGUGCCUGGCGUGCUCUGGUCCAUGGGGUCACGAAGAGUUGGACACGACUAAACGACUAAACAACAAGGCACAUGCAAAAAUGAAACUAAAGGAGAAGGCCAGGAUUAUUCAGAAAACCUGUGCAGCAGUUUAAAUGAAAGGCUUGCAAGGAAAGGAACCACAGCAGUGAAAGGGUACUGGCGGAGUAACAGACAGCCUGAUCAAAUGAGAGUAGGGAGUUUUACAUACUGGGUGCCAAGACCCUUUCAUAUGCUCUAAGUAAAGAUGGAUGAAUAAUUCUGUUUCCUGUCCAUUUCUCUUUCACAUGCAAUCACCCCCAAAUCCAGUUUCUGCAGCAAUCUGCAAUUUUUUUAAAAAAAUCUGCUCCAAAAUGCCAUUUUUAAUUAUACAUUUCUAAGCAUACAUAUUUUCUCUCAAAGUGUGCAAUCCUAAGUGUGCAUUUCUGAAUGUGUUUUUUCUCUGAAAGUAAUAUUUUUGCAAUAUGUUUUGAGCCAACAACUGCAGUGGAGCACUGGGGAAGUGCAAAAGUUAGGGGACUUAAUGCAUGAACCAUCUAUAGUGGUACAGUUGCUUGUUUUGUUUUGUUUUGUUUCCCAUUAUUCAGCUAGUAUACAAGAAUGGGGGCGGGGACCCUCCUUUUUCUUCUACUGCAAAAAAUCCAACUUUUGUGAAAGCUCUUGAAUGGAUUCUCAAUAUUUUAAUUUGUGUGGCAUGUAUACAACCAUCAUCCCGGUUUCUGCUUGCAGGGAAUCCAGCAUUUUUAAGAGUGAAUUUGUGGCUGAUUGGGACACGGGUGGUGCUGUGGGUUAAACCACAGAGCCUAGAACUUGCCAGUCAGCAGGUCGGCAGUUUGAAUCCCGCGAUGGGGUGAGCUCCCGUUGCUCGGUCCCUGCUCCUGCCAACCUAGCAGUUCGAAAGCACGUCAAAGUGCAAGUAGAUAAAUAGGUACCGCUCCAGCGGGAAGGUAAAUGGCGUUUCUGUGUGCUGCUCUGGUUUGCCAGAAGUGGCUUAGUCAUGCUGGCCACAUGACCCGGAAGCUGUACACCGGCUCCCUCGGCCAAUAAAGCGAGAUGAGUGCCACAACCCCAGAGUUGGUCACGACUGGACCUAAUGGUCAGGGGUCCCUUUAUCUUUACCUUGUGGCUGAUUGUCUGCACCUUUGAUCUUGUAUCCCUCUUAUAAGAUAGUGAAUUUGGGUGUCUUCCUUUCCAUGCUAAUGGCUGGUUGUGCUCAAACUGAGAAAUUAUGAGGUUGUCGUCACCCCAGUUAUGCACCCUCACAUUUCUUCAGCCAGUCAAUUUCUGGGUGGUUGUGAAAGAUUGCAUGUGGAAGAGAAAUGGACACAGGGAUAGCCCUUUCACUGCUUUCUUUAAAUUAUAUAUUUAAUGCCCAGUGCUCUGGAAUUUAAUGCCUAGAAUUUCACACAUGCUAUUGCAAAUCUUGUUGUUGUGGCAGAAAUUUGUCUGCAGGUGAUGAUUGUGGCCAGCUCUUUGACUCAGAACCAUCAUCUCUAUCUGCCAAUAUCUUUCAUAUGUCUGACAGCUUGCACCACUCAGAGGGCAGUUGUGUGAAACAGACAUAUCCAAAACCACCUCCACCACCAUCUCCAUAUAGAAACCAGGGUGGUGGUUCUACACAUGCCACACAGGUGAAAAUACAAUAGCUUGGUGAAGAACAGCACAGCUAUUGUCAGACAUCAGAGGAUCCAACCCACAUGGCAGGUUGCCAGGAACGGAUAAGACACAGAAAAGUUCUUACCACUUGCUUUUUAUUCAAUAUUCACAGAGAGUGGCUUAGAAGUGCUGCUUCUUGGAAUAAUGAUGUUGCUCUGAGUGAGUUUCCACUCCCUCCCUCUCUCCCUUCAUGUGUCAUCACUACAGGCGCUGAGAAGUAUCCUCUGCCUUUGAGCUCUUUGCACUCCUACUUUCAAUGCCUGCCAGGUUCUGGGAGUGGGGAUCUGGAAUGCUUUCUAAAGACACGGUGUCUGUCAGCUGUCACCCCUCUGGCAUUUCUUCUUCCUCCUCUCUCAUUAUUUCCCAGCUUUUCCCCUCAUCCGCCUCUGAGCUGUGAUCUCUCUCAAACCCCUGUUGUAAUUCUGAACUGUCUUCUUCUUCUCUGGAAGGAUCAGGUUGAUAGCUAUUUGCCCUCAAAACAAUGCACUAGACAUCUCUCCAAAAGCUGGAGACCUACUGGAACAAUAUGGAAAUGGGACAUUUCUACUUCUGCUGGACAUAAUUUGUGUCAUGAAGUUCAUGUUAAUAAAAACGGCAACCAUCCAUCCCACACAGAGCAAGCCAAGUUUGAUGGAACACUGGGUUUCCGCUGCUUCAUAAAUUUGAAUCAAGCUUUGAGUGUGGGGGUGGAAGGGCUACCAGUAGCAGCCAGGAGGACCAGAAUGAAAGCUUUAUUUACUUGCACCCAUGGGAGUGUCAAUCUCCUCCUCUCUCUCUCUGUGUGUGGGUCAAAUCAAGACAAAAAUAUAUUAACACAAUAUUACAUAUUUUCAAACAGCUCAAGAUCAGUUUCCAAACCUAUGCAAACACAUAGAAGCUUUUCGCUCUUCUGAGAGCUAGAAAAAAAGAGAGGUGGGUGGAAUGAUAAUAUCAGGACACCUCAAGCAGCAAAGCACCGUUUUUAUGCAUUCAUACCCUUUCAGGGCAUUAUUUAACCAUAUUUUGUAGCCCUUUCCAAAUGUCAAACUACACCGAGUCUUAGUCCCAUGCAUGCUUGCUGACAAAUAAUGCUUUACUCAAUGGGACUUAGCAUAUUUCCAUGGAAGACAGCGUAGGACAACUCACUGAAUGAGCCCCAUUUAAUUCCAUGGCACUUGUAUCUACUCCAUAGCAUCUAGGAUUCUGCUGGAAGGCUCCUAAUAUGAAUAUCUCUAAGAUACAUUGAGGUGGGGGUGGGGAAUCCAAGUCAAUUUAGUUUCAAAGCAUGAAACUUCUCUAUUACUAAUCUUCUUUAUGCAUCUGAUUACAAAGCAGGAAUAUUUAGAUUACUUUAUAGUUCAUCUGCAUCCUCUUUUCACCACAAAUAAAAAGCGUUUCCAACAGAGAAAUUGCAUUUGGUCAUGAUUUAUUCCCUUUAUAAAUGGAGCGCAUACAUUAGUUUGGAAGUUACUGUAUUUGUGAGGAGCUUGGUAAGAUAGAUUGCAAGUAAUACAGGCACGGGGGGAAAUUACUAUGAGAAUCACAUCAUGAACUCAUGAAAUAAACCCUCACAUAUUUUAUUCAGUAACCAGUUGUUCUGAUACCAUUUGUAAAGAAUGGCAUGCAGUCAACCAAAUUAAAAAUAGUGGGGAAGGGGGUAAUGUAGAUUUUUGUGAAACUGCUUCCCCUUCAUAGAUAGGCAGUCCGAUAGCAAGGGCAGAAUGACAUUGAGCGGGAGACGAUAUUCCUGAAAACCUUGAAGACAAAUAAUAAACGUUUCAAUUCAUUCAGCAUAGAAGUUUAAAUGGCAGGUGCCAAAUGAGCAUUUAUGUAUGAAGAAGAAAGCUAAUUGUGGCUUUAAUACAUAGACAGCAUAGGAAUCCCAGUAAAAUAUUGGAAUGGGGAUGGGUAGACCUGCCUUGGGAAAUUUUACUAAUCUCACUGAAACUCUUUUAGCUUCCCUCAAAAUUUCUCAGGCGUUUUGCUUGAAAGUGAAGCUCCACAUUGUCAUAAAAUUUUGUUCUAGGCUGAUAUGUGACCAACACACAAUCUGGCCAUUCCCCAGGAAAUCCUCUCAUAAUUCCAACUGGCUUUCCUCAGACCUCCUAUUUAUGUGAAGAACAACCCAACAUCAAAUUUCACUUUUGACGCAAUUGCAAGUAGCAAGUCUUUCCACAUUUAAGAAGCGAGGAGGGAGGGGGAAGUAUUGAUACCUUCAAACAGCUACACUUCUUGGGGUUUCCUUGGAAGAAGCUAUUAGAGCGAAGCCACUUUAGCACUGUAAAGGGACAAAAACGUAGCCCAUAAUGACUAGAUUUCCUCAAAUUUGAUUUGAUAAUAUGCUUUAACAAGAAGCAGGUCUGAAACCUGAAAUCAGGAGGAAAGUGUUCCAUUGUCCUUUAAACUUGCAAGAGAAACCAGCAAUUAGCACAACGUCAAUUUCUGGUCUGGAAACAACUCUUGGAAUUUCAGGGCAAUAGGAGACAGUUCAGGAAUCAGUCCCCUUCAGAGGUUAAUUGAGUAACUAUGUAAUUCACCCCCCCUUCCCUUCCCAGAGCACCAUUCAAAAGCACUCCAGUUUCAUUCCUCUUCAUCUGUUACACUGCUAAGAGUUUGCCUUCCGUAUUCCAACUCCCUUCCUCUCUCUGUUUAAAACUUCGUGCUAUAGACACUGAGAAAUGGGAGAGAAGCCACAAUUGCCAGAUUUGCUCAUCCCCAAGUACCAUAAAUACUGCUGACUGUGAAAAUGAGCAUUGUGUUGCCGUGAACAUUUUUAAAUGACUUGCACUAAGGGCCAUUUGACGCAUAUCACUGUAGCAAGCCCAGGAAUGUGAUCAAGGGCAAAGUCAGCAGGGAACUGUUUUCAGCCCACACUGACGUUAUGUUGGAGGGAUACCUUAUGCUCCUUCUGGAAAAGUUUUUCCACCAUUGGUCCUUACCCUGCACUCAAUUCUCACCUGUGGCUGCUAGAAGCUUUCAGCAUGUGGUAGCGGCCACACCCAGGGAAUGGCUUUGACUGGCCAGCUAAACCAGGUGAGGGUAGCCAGUGAGUCUCAAGCCCUGUGUGUGAAUACAGACUCUGGUGGAUUGAGCGGAUGAGACCAAUAAUGGGCCCAACAGUCAAGAAGCUGGUUUCUGCACCUGCUGUAGAGCAGCGGUUCUCAACCUGUGGGUCCCCAGUUGUUGUUGAACUACAACUCCCAUCAUCCCUGAGCUCUGGCCUUGCUAGCUAGGGGUGAUGGGAGUUGUAGUUCAACAACAUCUGGGGACCCACAGGUUGAGAAAGGCUGCUGUAGAGGGAAGUGAGGGACAGGUGGGGCUCCUCCAUCUGGGAAGUUAGCCCAUCUAGGAGAAGGAAAACUCUGAUCCUAAACCUCCACUGCUUUGUGGGAUAUCCUGGGAGAGACAAAGGCUAAGGAGUAAGCGCUAAACAAAUCUGGAGUGGAGUCCCUAAAACGGUUGGAUGACUCCUUGUAGGCUUCCUUCUGGCAACUCCUGCAGCCAAGCUGGCGCCAGAGCCAUGUUGUUUGUGUCAGGAAAGGAGGGUGGCUCCACAGCUCUCUGCUCAACCAUUCAGAUCACUACUGCUUAUUACUUGCCACUCCAGUUGUGGCUGAAAUAGAGCUCUGGUGAUUGCUUGAACCCACCAGUGUUAGUACAGAGGUUGCAACUGUGGAGUUCAUUCAGCACUCGCCUCCAAUUCUAAUUUCACAGCCACACUGAUGAUACUUACUGCUAUUAUGCCACCUACGGCCGGAGUGAUAUUAAAGCCCAAUUUGGUUCAAGACCCAAACUACAUGAACAAAAUAGUGAUAAAGUAUUCUUUUCUUAAAAAUUAAAAUAAAUCAAGCAAGCCACAGUAAUUAGGGAUAUGUUCACAGGCUUUGUUGAUGUCCAUGAAAUUUUCCAUUUUCAGAUACUGCUGAAAAAUGCAUAUGAAAUAUGUUAUAUCUAUCACAUUGUCAACACCAAACUGCAGUACUGAACAUCUUAUCACUUGCUAUCAAGACAUAACAGAAGGACAGAAACAUGUUUGAUUAUUUUUUUAAUUCAAGAAAAGUCACGGUUCCUUAAAUGAUGUCAGACUGAAAGAUUAGGAAUAUAACAUGAAUGCAUUAGUGAAAUUGAAAAUAAUUUUGGGAAGAACAAGGAAGUGUGGUUUUCUUGUCUUGUCCUAUCUUAUCUUGGCAAUAAUAUUUUGAGAAACGUUGGACACCAUAUAUUUUAUAAUACAGGAGUCAGAAAUUCAAUAUGGACAUUAAUUUGUAUAAGGUGUUUUCACUGUCAGAGUGGAUUCUAUCUAACUAUUUUGUUCUCAAGAGUAGAUCCAUUUAUUUCAAUAGACAGACAGUCUUGCUUAUGUCUACUUAUUUCAAUGGGCCUUCUUUGAAUAUGACAUAUCAGAUACAACCCAACAGGUAUCUGACUAUUAGUAGUAGUAGCAUGAGUUAUAGUUGCAGGAUUAUGCAUGGAGAUUAAGUAGCUAAGUGGUACCUAACUUGGCAUUAUCCAGAUGUUCUCAACUACAGCUUCCAUCAUGCCUGACCAUUGACCAUGUUGAAGCCCCCUACCAAAAGAAAACCUAAUUAUUUACCCAGAGUCUAGGGACAGGUUGAUUUAUCUGGCUAAGUGUACAGAGGUAGUCAGAUUUUGUACAAUUUGUCAUGUUCAGUGCAUUUUUUCUCCAUUCUGUAAAUUUUCAUGAAAGGGAAAUGUCAUGAGGUGUGCAUAUUUGUGUGUUCUGUUCAGCACAACUCUUUAGAAAGGUGCACUCAAUUUUGAUAUUUAGGUAAAAAAAGCCAGCAGAUACUUAGCACGUCACAUCUUAGAUUGAUAUUCAAUAUUAGUCAUAUUCAGCGUAGACCUGCUGGAAUUCUAUGCUAUGGCUAACAUUGGAUAGGCACCUAAGACAUCACUUCCUUUUUGCUAAGUAAUUUGCAUAUUUCAUUUCAUGGACACCUUAUAAAUUACCAUCAGGAGAAUCUUCCCUCAUUUUGUGAAGUGACAGAGGACAGAGGGCCUUCUCGGUAGUGGCGCCUGCCCUGUGGAACACCCUCCCAUCAGAUGUGAAGGAAAUAAGCAGCUAUCUUAUCUUUAAAAGAUAUCUGAAGGCAUCCCUGUUUAGGGAAGUUUUUAAUAUUUAAUUCUGUAUUAUUUUUAACACUCGAUUGGAAGCUGCCCAGAUUGGCUGGGGAAACUCAUGGGCGAGGUAUAAAUAAUAAAUUAUUAUUAUUAUUAUUAUUAUUAUUAUUAUUAUUAUUAUUAUUGCAAAAUGCCGCUUCCUUGUCUGUGAUUGCAUUGCAGCUUUGCAUUCAACUAUGAUGCUAAAGUUAGGGAAACAAAGUCUUCCUAUAAACACCUGAUAUAGGCGCAUUUAAUAAUACUGCACUGCGAGAAACCCUCGGCAUAUUUUUGUUUUGGGAAUAUGAAAAGCUGUACAUAUGGCCAAAACAGAGUUGUUUACAAAGUUUGCAUGUGAAUUAGAAUGCGGAGACAACAUAGCCAUCUGUCCGGAAAGUCGUCUUUCAUUUGUUUACCUCAAAGUUGAUAGGCUUAGAGAACACAAGAGGGAGGAGCAACCGCAGGAGGCAGUUGCCUCUUCACUGUAGCAAUUAGGAGAGGGCUUUUUGUAAAGAAUUCUCAUCAUAAAGCUUUACACAAAUGGCUUUUCAGCCAACCACAGAAAAGACAGCAUCUUUGGCAGGUUGCACUAUCGCCACCUAACUGGCACUUUGGUCAGACGACUUUGGAAUAAUAUCAACAAACGUUUGGAUGGAUCUUUGCCGUAAAGUAAUCACACUGAAGCUCCCUACCCAAAAAAAUCGAGAGGAUGUGCAAACGAGGGAAAACUCAUACAAGAAAGGGAAAGUAUUUUUGUGGCACAGUACACCAAUCGAGUGCAAGCAGUGGACAAUUUUCCAGCUUAUUUAGAGAAGAAGGGCUGUUCCAUAUACAUGCAAAUUCAUGUACAUGCAAGUACAUCAAAUCAAAUCAAAUCUUUAUUACAGUUUUAUUACAGUCAAAGACCAGUAGAAGGGGGGAGAGGCACAAUCUGAAAAAUGAUUUGAAAAACUAAAAAGAGUUAAAAGUCUAUAAAGAACCUAAAGGAAGCUAGGAAAGUCUAAAAGAAGGGUUAGGAACAUUAGACGGGAGUGGCAGAUCAUAAGAGGUUAGGAUAUAUAUAUAAGACUAUAGCUAUCAAUCUACAGAGCACUCUGAUAUGGGUGCUCAUUCUUAAUCUAGUUUGUGGCACAGAUCAUGCAAGUACAUCAUUUGGUUACAGCCCAAAUGGCUAUACUCUAAAACACACGAGCAAGGUAGAAUUCACAUUUCCCCCCAAAUCUUGAGCAAACUAUAGCAAUUAACUGCCCCAUUGGACCUCAGGUGGUGGGUAGAAUCACUGUGUUUCUACUUUUCUUUGCCUCCAGUUUUCCCUUUCUACUAACAACUUGAGAUCAAAAUUUGGCUUUGCUCUUUCGUGAACAUCUGUCUACUAACAAAAUGCAAUGGGUAAGGUGUUGCACAGAGGAUCUGCAUAUAACAAAGGCCACCAAAGGUCACUUCCCACAAGGACAUGCUGCCCUGCAUUGCAGGAUACCUAUCAGCAAGAGCUUGUUGUUGUUGUUUAGUCAUUUAGUCAUGUCCAACUCUUCGUGACCCCAUGGACCACUGCACGCCAUGUACUCCUGUCUUCCACUGCCUCCCGCAGUUUAGUCAAACUCAUGCUGGUAGCUUCGAGAACACUGUCCAACCAUCUCGUCCUCCGUUGUCCCCUUCUCCUUGUGCCCUCAAUCUUUCCCAACAUCAGGGUCUUUUCCAGAGAGUCUUCUCUUCUCAUGAGGUGGCCAAAGUAUUGGAGCCUCAGUUUCACGAUCUCCUUCAUGGAUCACUGCCUUGCUGUGGCGAAGGGGCUUGAAUAACUCAGAGAAGCUAGGAGCUAUGCCAUGCAGGGCCACCCAAGAUGGGCAGGUCAUAGUGGAGAGUUUUGACCAAACGUGAUCCACCUGGAACAGGAACUGGCAAGCCACUCCAGUAUCGCUUCCAAGAAAACUCCAUGGAUAAAGACAACAGGCAUAUCAGCAAGAGCUAGUCCAUCCCAAGUAAUACCCUGCUGUAAUUAGACUUGAAAGAAAGGCCACUAUUGCAACCAACAGAAGGCUUUUUCCAAGCCUAAUUGGAACAAGAAAAGGGUCAUUUGGAGGGGUCAUAAGCAGGGUCUGGGUAAAGGUUAAGGCUUCAUUACCCCUGAAAUUACCUUUCCCCCACUGCAGUUAAAUUGGGAGGAACUGAAUCUGUUAAUUUGGGUUUCCAACUUGCCCAGUUUUAAGUGCAGCUUGUGCCAUUUCUUCAUUAGUCUUUGAGCUUUUAUUUUAUAAAAAAAGAAAAAGUCCACUUGAAAUUUUGUGCACAAUUUUUCUGUGCGUUUCUCCUAAUAUGCAUUUUCUUUUUCAUGUUGCUGCACGGUCUCUGAAGUGAGACCUCUGAAGCAUUGUGCAUUACCAACUUUAUAGUGUAAAAUAUUAGACAGCCACAACUAAGAAGAAAGGAACCAGACAAAGACUGCACACCUCAUCAAAUCCUUCACUUGCGAUUGAAAUGCUUCUUUCACUAUUGACUCCUUAGAGCCUAAUCCUAAGGCAUGCUAUGUCAACAGAGGAGGUAAUCGGAUGGGGAACAUGAGGAGCUGCAUCAGCUCAAAGUUACAGAACAUGAUGAUAAAGCCAUAUUACAACAAUGUGCCAGCACAGAAGCUUAGGACUGAAGUGUCAGUUGCAUUCUGUAAAAUGUCAAUGAAGUUAAAUGCACCAUACUGAUUACUGCAAUGAACAGCCUUCCUUCCCGCAUUAUCUGUUCCUGGGCACCUGAACUCAGAGAUACGCUAUCAUGUAAUUGCUUCAUAUAAUAUGAAUACAGAGAGUGAACUUUAAUUAGUAGUUUAAAUAUAUGCCAAACUGGAUCAUUUUGAAUCCCAAUUAAAAUUAACAGCAGCAAUUAAUUCAGACUUAUUAGUCACCAGCUCAAAUUCCAGCUGCUGACAUUUUCAAGGGAAAACUGAGCAGUGUUUGCUGAAGAGAUGGCACAAAACAUCAUCAUCAGGGGACAUUAUGUUAGUUAUUUGUCAGAAACAUGUUAAGGCCUUUCCAUCUGGCUCACUGUCACUGAUACAAGGGAUCUACAAAUCAUACAGGUUGUCAAACCAGCAAUAGAAUAAUGGGGGGGGGGGGAUUUUCUGGUUGGCUUCAGAUAAACAGUGAACCUAACAGAUCCCUGUGUCAAUGAAAUUAAUAUUCGCCAUUAACAAUCCAAAGAAACCAGAAACCAUGGGUUUAAUUUCUGCAUUUGUCAAGGUGAAAAAUAAAAAUCCCUGGGGCAAAUAACAAGUAUCAGAGAGGUCUAUGUUUUGCUAUAUAUGGUUGAUACUGUUACAGAUUUGGGGUCUGUUGGUGCAUAGCAGAAAUUAAUAAAUGGUAGUAUUUAGAUAAUAUGUGUGAUAUGAAGGGAAUAUACAAGGUGCAGAGGAAUUUAUGGGUUAGCACAUGCAAAAUGGCCUGGCUGGACUAGCCAAGUGCAAGGUUAUUAAUCAACAAUACUGGGCCAUUAAGUGCCAUUGAUAAUGCAAAAGACCCUGCUCUGAGGAGAUUUGGAAGGUUACCAGGGUAACUGGAUGCAAUGUCAAAGGAGGAUUUUGUGCUUUUUGCAAGAAGCUGGGAAUAGCUGGGGCUGAAAGGUAGGACUGUGUUUUGCAGAGUGUGUGAAGGAGGAGGAGGAGGAGGAGGAAGCCCUGAACCAUCUUAGCUGCUGGCUGAAGAGGCAGCAACCAAGAGACUGAAGAACAUGGUUGGCUCCUCUAGACUCAAGCUGGCUGAAGCCAUGGGAGAAGCAGGGACAAACACUCUUGAGAGGACAAUGCUGUAACAGCUGUAACUUCCUCCACCUACACUCAGGUUGCAUACAUGUGAAUAAACCAUACAGUGGAACCUCGGGUUACAUACGCUUCAGGUUACAUACGCUUCAGGUUACAGACUCCGCUAACCCAGAAAUAGUGCUUCAGGUUAAGAACUUUGCUUCAGGAUGAGAACAGAAAUUGUGUUCCAGCGGCGUGGCAGCAGCAGGAGGCCCCAUUAGCUAAAGUGGUGCUUCAGGUUAAGAACAGUUUCAGAUUAAGUACGGACCUCCGGAACGAAUUAAGUACUUAAACUAUGGUACCACUGUAUUUAAGGUAAAGGUAAAGGGACCCCUGACAGUUAGGUCCAGUUGUGGCCGACUCUGGGGUUGUGGCGCUCAUCUUGCUUUAUUUGCUGAGGGAGCCGGCAUACAGCAUGUGGCCAGUAUGACUAAGCCGCUUCUGGCGAACCAGAACAGCACACAGAAACACUACCUUCCCGCUGGAGCGGUACCUAUUUAUCUACUUGCACUUUGACGUGCUUUCGAACUGCUAGGUCGGCAGGAGCAGGGACCGAGCAAUGGGAGCUCACCCCGUUGUGGGGAUUUGAACCACCGACCUUCUGAUUGGCAAGUCCUAGGCUCUGCGGUUUAACCCACCAUAUAUAUUGAAGUCAAAUUCCACCGCGUCUUGAUUCUCAAAGGAAACACAACCCCAGGUGAGAACCUGGUACCCCCUGGAAUCUUGUGCACCACUCGGCAGAGAUUGGGGGCUGGCAUGCUACCUUUGUAACAAUAUCAAUGGAUUAAAUCAUAUUAAUUAUAUGUUAUUAUUUCAACAGCAGUAGUAAACAGAAGAAAGCCUCCUAAUAAGAGGGCGGCAUCAAAACGACUUAAUAUUUUGUUUAAUUUUUCCUCUUCAAGGUGGAAUUCGUUUUUUUGCUCAGUCAACCAACAUCUGCUCCAUUUUUCAGACUUCAUAUAAAAAAAAUCCUGCUUGAAAAGCAUAACCUGCUGUGUCACUUUCAAGACAAAUUCAGAAGUGGAUUCACAAGAAUGUACCUGGUCAGGAAAUAUUUGUUUCGUUAUGGAUUUCCCCACCCCCAUUUAAACUUUUGUCAUUUCUUUCCUGUUUUGAGAUCCAAAAUAUUUCCUAUGUAUUUCACCGAAGUACUAUAAAGGAGCUGUCAAUCUUUGUAUAAGACAGCUAACCAAAUAAAAUGUGAAAACUGAAAACAAACUAACCG